GGCGACGUGGCGGAGUGGUUACGCAGCGGCCUGCAAAGCCGUGUACACCGGUUCGAUUCCGGUCGUCGCCU
rnacentral:tRNA from 3 species